rnacentral:lncRNA from 1 species
CAAAGAAGAUAUAGUAUAGAAGGCUCACUCGCAACAAUUUUGGAACCGACUGCUUUCAGCGAUCCUUGCGGCGGGUAUCUGGGGAGCUUUCGUAUGUAGUGUUUAUUAAGUAAACUUGAUUGCAAUUUAGCACCAUUUAGAGUACUAAUUAAUGGACCCUGACUAAUUGCAUCAGAACCUGACCUCAUCCAUGAACAUCUUAUAAAGUACAUGUACUUUAUAGAAUGUUCAUGCCUCAUCCUAUAACACCUAAAAAAGAGGGAAGCUUGCCUACUAUAUCUUCUUUGUUGCUUGCUUGCUUG